rnacentral:rRNA from 1 species
CGGGUGCACUGAUCCAGCCGGGCCUUUCCCUCUGUGGAACCCCAUGGCCUUCACUGGCUGUGGUGGGGAAACAGGACUUUUACUUUGAAAAAAUUAGAGUGCUCCAGGCAGGCCUAUGCUCGAAUACAUUAGCAUGGAAUAAUAGAAUAGGACGUGUGGUUCUAUUUUGUUGGUUUCUAGGACCGCCGUAAUGAUUAAUAGGGACAGUCGGGGGCAUCAGUAUUCAAUUGUCAGAGGUGAAAUUCUUGGAUCUAUUGAAGACUAACUACUGCGAAAGCAUUUGCCAAGGAUGUUUUCAUUGAUAAGGAACGAAAGUUAGGGGAUCGAAGACGAUCAGAUACCGUCGUAGUCUUAACUAUAAACUAUGCCGACUAGGGAUCGGACGAUGUUAUUCUUUGACGCGUUCGGCACCUUUCGAGAAAUCAAAGUGCUUGGGCUCCAGGGGGAGUAUGGUCGCAAGGCUGAAACUUAAAGAAAUUGACGGAAGGGCACCACCAGGGGUGGAAACCUGCGGCUUAAUUUGACUCAACACGGGGAAACUCACCAGGUCCAGACACAGUGAGGAUUGACAGAUUGAGAGCUCUUUCUUGAUUCUGUGGGUGGUGGUGCAUGGCCGUUCUUAGUUGGUGGAGUGAUUUGUCUGCUUAAUUGCGAUAACGAACGAGACCUUAACCUGCUAAAUAGCCCGUACUGCUUUGGCAGUUCGCCGGCUUCUUAGAGGGACUAUCGG